rnacentral:rRNA from 1 species
UACGAAGGGGGCUAGCGUUGUUCGGAAUUACUGGGCGUAAAGCGCACGUAGUCGGCUUUGCAAGUCGGGUGUGAAAUCCCCGGGCUCAACCCGGGAACUGCGUCCGAUACUGGAAGGCUUGAAUCCGGGAGAGGGAUGUGGAAUUCCAGGUGUAGCGGUGAAAUGCGUAGAUAUCUGGAGGAACACCGGUGGCGAAGGCGACAUCCUGGACCGGUAUUGACGCUGAGGCGCGAAAGCCAGGGGAGCAAACGGG